AUGGAUAGCGUGACGACCUUCUUCGCAUGGUGGGCGCUCUCUGCCAACACCUCGCCGAGCGGCCUACGCAAAGGGGUCAACUCCAUCGUCGCUCUUACCGCUUGGGCCAUCUGGAAGCACCGCAAUGCCGCCAUCUUCGACGGCCUUCACCCCUCUACCAACGAUCUUGUGCUUUCCAUCCAAGAUGAGGCUCGCCUAUGGGCUAAGGCCGGCGCCAAGGGACUAGCCGCUGUUAUUCCUGUAACCUGA
rnacentral:rRNA from 1 species